AUUCCAGCUCCAAUAGCGAAUACUAAUUCUGCUGCAGUUAAAAAGCUCGUAGUUGAACUUCUGGUAGGACAGAUCCGGCCUUUGGAUGAAUGUCCAUUGUAUGCUGUGUGUCUUGUCUGGCCAUCCUUUAUGUCUUUUAGGCGUAAUCUUUCACUGUAAAAAAAUUAGGGUGUUUCAAGCAAAAGUUAUUUGGAAUAUAUUAGUAUGGGAUGAUAAGAUAGGCUCUUGAGUGCUACUUUGUUGGUUUAUACACUUAGAGAAUGAUUAACAGGGACAGUCAGGGGCACUCGUAUUCCGCCGAGAGAGGUGAAAUUCUCAGACCAGCGGAAGACGAACCACUGCGAAAGCGUUUGCCAGGGAUGUUUUCAUCG
rnacentral:rRNA from 1 species